rnacentral:lncRNA from 1 species
CAUGGAGCUUGGUGGAGGCAUCGGAUCCAAAGCCGGGGAUGUGCGCAGCAAAGUAGAAGGGAGCGAUCGGGAACUCCUCGCAGCAGACUUGAGCAACAGGUAUGGCUUUUGCUCGCAGCAGCUGCUCGUGACUGUGGAUCUUUGACGCGGUGGUCUGGUCCUUUGGCAUAUGGACGAACAGAACCGGAGGAUAAGUUGAAGCCGGGGCCAUCUUCGCUCGCUCCAGCGCCUUGUGGAGGCCCGGGGACACCAUCAAGACGAGCGCCGAGAACUUGAUGGUGAGCGCGAGCAUGGAGAGGAA